rnacentral:tRNA from 1 species
GGGGAUGUGGCUCAAGCAGUAGAGCGCUCGCCUGGCAUGCGUGCGGGCGGGGUUCGAUCCUCAGCACCA